rnacentral:antisense_RNA from 1 species
AGACUCCAGCGGCUCCCGGCCAGCGGGGACGUGGAGGUGACAUCUCUCUGACCCGCAGGACUGUGGGCGCCCUGCCGAGCGUCGCGCGGUCUUGGGGCGCCCUGCAGUGGAGCCCCUGCGGCGCAGCGCGCGGUGGGACUGGCCGGGUUCUCGCGGCGCCGAGGGCCUGUGUCUGCGCCGGUUCCUGGCAAGGGCACCUUGGCCGGGCGGCCCGCGUCCCCCGCGCUUCCCACACCCACGUGGGCGGACCCGGCCCGCAAGCUGGGCCAGCCUGCGGUUUCCGGGCACUGGGGAGUGCGCAGAGCCCCGGGCCAGCGACCGCAGCCGGGGUCCCUGGCUUCUCCUGAGCACUUUCCCCCGGACCGGUCCCUCCAGGGUGGCGGGCGGCACCCAGGGCCGGCGCUCCUCACCAACGCGCUGCAGCUACGGGCUCAGGAGGGAGCCGCAGCGUCGGAGGAGGAAAGCAUUUAAGAAUAGCACAAAGCCUUAGGCUCGAGGAAGCGUGACUGCUUACGUGUUGAAAAUAAAGGUUCUGUAAGUCCCACCGCGGGUGCAUAUUGGAAAGAAAGGGAUCAUUAGCACGCGACCCUCGCCUAGGAGUAUAUAAACCGCAGCACGACUUUCGGAUCACAAAGGCAGAGAAAAGAACACAUUGAAGGCUUUUGCUCACUUUUCCAAGUUGUUUCGUUUCGUUUUGUUUCUAAUGUGGAUGAUCAUUUAAAAUGCCUCUGGUGGCCGGGCGCGGUGACUGACGCCUGUAAUCACAGCACGUUGGGAGGCCGAGGCGGGCGGAUCACCUGAGGUCAGGAAUUCGAGACCAGCCUGGGCAAUAUGGUUAAACCCCCUCUCUACUAAAAAUAAAAAAAUUAGCUGGGCGUGGUGGCAUGUGCUUGUAGUCCCAGCUACUUGGGAGGCUGAGACAGAAGAAUCGCUUGAACCCGGGAGGCGGAAGUUGCAAUGAGCCAAGAUUGCGCCAUUGCAUUCCAGCCUGGGCAACAGAGCAAGAUCCUGUCUCCAAAAAAAAACAAAUAAAUAAAACAAAAUUCCUCUGGUAGCCGGGUGCGGUGGCUCACGCCUGUAAUCUCAGCACUUUGGGAGGCUGAGGCAGGUGGAUCACUUGAAGUCAGGAGUUUGAGACCAGCCUGGCCAAUAUAGUGAAACCUCAUCUCUACUGAAAAUACAAAAAUUAGCCAGGCGUGGUGAUGCGCGCCUGUAAUCCCAGCUACUCGGGAGGCUGAGGCGUGAGAAUCGGUUGAACCCGGGAGGUGGAGGUUGUAGUGAUCCAAGAUUGUGCCAUUGCACUCCAGCCUGGGCAACAGAGGGAGAUCCUGUCUCUAAAAUAAAAAAUAAAAGAAAUGCCUUUGGUGAACAGGAAUUCUCAACAUUAGUGACCCGCAGUGUAUUAGUGUUAAUAAUGGACAUCCCCUUUGAUUCAGCAAGCCCAUCUAGAGAUUUCCUAGGAUAGACAAGCCAGUUUGUGCAAUUUCAUGUGUACAGCAUUGUUUUUAGUAUGGAAAGAUUAGAGUUUACAUAUCCACCCAUAGGGAGAGAGUUAAAUAAAUUAUGGUGCAUCCGCUUAGUGGAUUAGUAUACAGCCAUUAGGAAUAAAGGAAUUCUAUAUGUGCUGAUAUGAAAUA